CCUACGGGAGGCAGCAGUGAGGAAUAUUGGUCAAUGGACGAGAGUCUGAACCAGCCAAGUAGCGUGAAGGAUGACUGCCCUAUGGGUUGUAAACUUCUUUUAUAUGGGAAUAAAAUGCUCCACGUGUGGGACUUUGUAUGUACCUUAUGAAUAAGGAUCGGCUAACUCCGUUCCAGCAGCCGCGGUAAUACGGAGGAUCCGAGCGUUAUCCGGAUUUAUUGGGUUUAAAGGGUGCGUAGGUGGAUUGUUAAGUCAGUUGUGAAAGUUUGCGGCUCAACCGUAAAAUUGCAGUUGAAACUGGCAGUCUUGAGGACAUUAGAGGUAGGCGGAAUUCGUGGUGUAGCGGUGAAAUGCUUAGAUAUCACGAAGAACUCCGAUUGCGAAGGCAGCUCACUGGACUGCAACUGACACUGAGGCUCGAAAGUGUGGGUAUCAAACAGGAUUAGAUACCCUAGUAGUC
rnacentral:rRNA from 1 species